rnacentral:rRNA from 1 species
UACAGAGGGUGCGAGCGUUAAUCGGAAUUACUGGGCGUAAAGCGCGCGUAGGCGGCUUUGCAAGUCGGGUGUGAAACCCCCAGGCUUAACCUGGGAACUGCAUUCGAGACUGCAUCGCUAGAGUAUCGGAGAGGGAAGUGGAAUUUCAGGUGUAGCGGUGAAAUGCGUAGAUAUCUGAAGGAACAUCAGUGGCGAAAGCGACUUCCUGGACGAAUACUGACGCUCAUGUGCGAAAGCGUGGGGAGCAAACAGG